AUCUUAGUAGCUUAAUUAUAAAGUUUAACAUUGAAAUUGUUAAGAUAGUUUUUACUCUUGGAUA
rnacentral:tRNA from 1 species